AUGUUCUCCAACACGCAUCAUUCCCUGUUAUAUAUGUGCAUUCUAGAAGGCAACCAGUCAAACAGCCAACAGAGCGGCCGAGCAAAUCAGAUCGGGACCAGUAGGCGGCGGCGGAGCAGAUCAGAUGACAACAAGUGGAGGAGGCUGAUGCACCACGUCACGGGCCUGCACGGGAGGAAGAUGGUGCAGCAGCCGCAAGUGGACAAGCACAAGCUAGCCAAGCCACCAGAACGACGUGGCGUGAGGAGUUACAGCAGAUGCCCAAGGCAGCAGGCCAACAGCCAGCCAGGCCCAAAAAUCGUCCAAGGCGUGGCCCAAAGGAACGAUGUCCAGGUCAACGCACGAAGAGGCCACGAACCGAUCGCAGCGGCGGCUGACUUCCUGCACGCGCUACACGGCGGGCUGGCGAGAGGACGGCUGCCGGACAGCGACGGAGGCGGGCAAGUGGCGGACGGCGGCGCAGGGGCCCGCCCCAAUCCAAGCGGCGUCGAUCUGCAGCGAGAUGGGUUGGGGCGAUCUGGACGGCGGCAGCGGUUUGAGGCACGGAAAAGCAGCGACGAGAGAGGGAGGGAGCACAGCACGUGA
rnacentral:rRNA from 1 species